UACGUAGGGAGCAAGCGUUGUUCGGAUUUACUGGGCGUAAAGGGCGCGUAGGCGGCGUGUUAAGUCAGCUGUGAAAUCUCCAAGCUCAACUUGGAACGGCCAGCUGAUACUGAUGUGCUAGAGUGCAGAAAGGGCAAUCGGAAUUCUUGGUGUAGCGGUGAAAUGCGUAGAUAUCAAGAGGAACACCUGAGGCGAAGGCGGGUUGCUAGGCUGACACUGACGCUGAGGCGCGAAAGCCAGGGGAGCAAACGGG
rnacentral:rRNA from 1 species